GAAGACGGUCAUAAUAGGUUGGAAACACCUGUUCCCAUUCCGAACACAGAAGUUAAGCAAUCUAUGUUGGUGAUGGUAGUGCAUGAAAAUGCGCGAACUCAUCAAGCUGUCUUUC
rnacentral:rRNA from 1 species